UCAAUGCUGCUGCUGGGCAGAGCAAAGAGGAGCAGCUUUGUUGAAAUGCCUUUGGGGCAUGAAAACCCCAAAGUCCUCCUGCUGAAGACACAUCACAACUGCCAGGCCAUAUGGGAUUCCUUUGGAAUUGCAGAACCCAUUCCCCACCAAGGCAUCCAGGCAGCCAAGAAUUGUCCUGCAGGCUCCUGGCUGGAACUGGGGCAGUUCAAAUUUUGACACUGAUGAUUUUUUUCCUCUGUCCUCUUAGAGAUAAAACAGAGGUGGACAUGCACUGGAACCAGCACAACAGUAAGUGUGUGUCUCUAUCCAGAGUCUAAAGCAACCACUUUAUAGCCAAAGAAGUCAAAGCUAUUCUGGAGAAAGAAAGAUGCUCAGCACGCUGAUAUUUAUUAACCAUUAUUCUUUAUUAGACCUCACAGAGGUGUAAACUAUACAUACAAAUACAUUAGAAAGAUACCCUCUUACAGUAAUGUUUCACAUUUUGGACUGGAUCUAAAGAGGGUUGCAAACAUUUCAGUACAUUCUACCAACCAAAGGUUGCCGUAGUCUUUUAUUUUAUUAUACAGUGUGACCAAGCCCUUUUUACUGCAAUCAAUGAGAUUCAGAAAACAAACAAUGAAAAUCAGACAGCUAGCUCUUCAGAUCUUUUGAACCUAUCAUGAUAAAUGCAUAUAAAGAGCCUUUUGAAAAACAUGAAUACACUAUUUGGUUAUGGAACAAUGUUUAUCAGGUUAGACAGUUUGUACAGAGUGGGGGACAUGAUUAAAUGGUUCUGAGGGACCUGUGCAAUAGCAAGAUCAGAGUUUAUUUUUGUAAGCAAUAAAAUCUUCAUUGCUUGGCCUUCCUGCAUGUCUGUGGAAAGCUUACCAGUACUAAAUGGAGAGAAUGGAACAAGUUGGCGUUGUUGAAGUAUUUGGUGUGGGCAUGGG